rnacentral:RNase_P_RNA from 1 species
UGGGGUAAGAGCCCACCGCCGGACUGGCAACAGGACGGGCAUGGUAAACCCCCCACGGAGCAAGACCAAAUAGGUUGGCGUGCUGCGCAAGCAGUGAGGAUCGGCCCGAUCGAGCCAGCGGGUAGGUCGCUUGAGGUGAUGAGUGAUCAUCAUCCUAGAGGAAUGACGUCCCACGACAGAACCCGGCUUACCGGUCCACCUGGGCC